rnacentral:rRNA from 1 species
AGAAUCAACGCUGGCGGCGUGCCUAACACAUGCAAGUCGAACGAGAAAGUGGAGCAAUCCAUGAGUAAAGUGGCGCACGGGUGAGUAACACGUGACUAACCUACCCUUGAGUGGGGGAUAACCUAGGGAAACCUGGGCUAAUACCGCAUAAUACCUUCGGGUCAAAGGAGCAAUUCGCUUUAGGAGGGGGUCGCGGCCGAUUAGUUAGUUGGCGGGGUAAUGGCCCACCAAGACUGUGAUCGGUAUCCGGCCUGAGAGGGCGCACGGACACACUGGAACUGAAACACGGUCCAGACUCCUACGGGAGGCAGCAGUGGGGAAUUUUGCGCAAUGGGGGAAACCCUGACGCAGCAACGCCGCGUGGAGGAUGAAGCCCCUUGGGGCGUAAACUCCUUUCGAUCGGGAAGAUAAUGACGGUACCGAGAGAAGAAGCCCCGGCUAACUUCGUGCCAGCAGCCGC